UUGUUGCUCUCCUCUGGACUGUCUACGAAGAGUGGUGCCCAGAACUGAACACAGUAUUCCAGUGGAGGCCUUAUCACUGCUGAGCAGAAUGGAAGAAUUACUUCUCAUGUCUUGCAUAAAACACUCCUGCUAGUACAUCACACAACUUUUGCCUUUUUUUUUUCCCCCUUCUCAACCGUAUUACACAGUGUUGACUCUUAUAGUAGAUCACAAGUUUAAUAACUCCCAGAUCAUUUUCUACAAUACUCCUUCCUAGACAGUAAUUUCCCAUUUUGUAUGUGCACAUGUGAGGGGGUGUGCCAACCCCGCAAGGGUUAACCAUGUACUUUGGGCUCAGGAGGUCACACCUCCCUCCCCUCCGGGCAUACUCCAUCUGGAAGCAGUAUAUAAAAGGUCACAGCUCAGCUCAAUCUGGGCUGACUGAGGAGAAAAGCAGAUGCAUGCUGCAGGCUCCUGCCAGGGAGCUGCUAGAGCUCCAGCCUGCAGAGCCCAGUCGACUGCGGAGAAUGUGGGAGGUGGAAGGCUGCUAACCCUGAAGGAACUACAGGAUCCAAGACUAACGAUUCUCUGCUUUGGGAGGAAGAACGACGUUUGCCUUUUGCUGACCGACCAGGAGAACGAGAUCUGGAUCGGCUACCACUGCGUCUGGAAGGAGAACUUGAGGAAGAAUUGCUUUUUCGAGGUUUAAAUGAUGAUACAGACUGAAAGAAACAGGACACAUUAAAUAUGAUUUGUAAAGUUUUUGCUAAAUGAAAGAAUUGUCAUAAAAAUACAAUUAGACAGUAAUUUUAGCUGUUAUUUCUCAAUAUAUAUUUGUACCAUUGAAAACAUCUAAUACCUAUAAAAAUGUUUAAAUAUUUGUAGUAAAUUUAGGACUCAAAGGGACUCAAUUUUCAGCUCUAGUAAUUGAGCAGAGACUGUGGUAAUGCAAAGCUUCCCUACUCCGCUAACAUUCCACAAGACCAAGAUGGAGGGACAAUCUCAUUAGUAUUUAGUCCCUAUUCUUCCAUUUCUGGUUAAUACUGAAGCAACUGAAGCAAGACAGGCUUGAGUAUCUGGUUGCUUCAGGUCUCCUUAACCCUUGCCAAAUUUGGGUGCAGACCUGGGUAUAGCACAGAAACUGCACUAACAACAUUGUAAUAUAUGCUCCUUCUAGCAGCAGUAAAGAUCAAGGUGUUCAUGUCA